UGGGGAAUAUUGCACAAUGGGCGCAAGCCUGAUGCAGCAACGCCGCGUGGAGGAAGACGGUUUUCGGAUUGUAAACUCCUGUUCUUAGUGAAGAAAAUAGACGGUAGCUAAGGAGCAAGCCACGGCUAACUACGUGCCAGCAGCCGCGGUAAUACGUAGGGGGCGAGCGUUGUCCGGAAUGAUUGGGCGUAAAGGGCGUGUAGGCGGCCCGUUAAGUCUGGAGUGAAAGUCCUGCUUUCAAGGUGGGAAUUGCUUUGGAUACUGUCGGGCUGGAGUGCAGGAGAGGAAAGCGGAAUUACCGGUGUAGCGGUGAAAUGCGUAGAGAUCGGUAGGAACACCAGUGGCGAAGGCGGCUUUCUGGACUGAAACUGACGCUGAGGCGCGAAAGCGUGGGGAGCAAACAGGAUUAGAUACCCUGGUAGU
rnacentral:rRNA from 1 species